GACGAACGCUGGCGGCGUGCUUAACACAUGCAAGUCGAACGGUGAAGCGCCUUCCUUUUUGGUGGGUGUGGAUGAGUGGCGAACGGGUGAGUAACACGUGAGUAACCUGCCCCCUUCUUCUGGAUAACCGCAUGAAUGUGUGGCUAAUACGGGAUAUUCUGGGUCUGUCGCAUGAUGGGUCUGGGAAAGAUAUUGUUUCGGUGGGGGAUGGGCUCGCGGCCUAUCAGCUUGUUGGUGGGGUGAUGGCCUACCAAGGCGGUGACGGGUAGCCGGCCUGAGAGGGUGGACGGUCACACUGGGACUGAGACACGGCCCAGACUCCUACGGGAGGCAGCAGUGGGGAAUAUUGCACAAUGGGCGCAAGCCUGAUGCAGCGACGCCGCGUGAGGGAUGGAGGCCUUCGGGUUGUGAACCUCUUUCGCCAGUGAAGCAGGCCUGCCUCGUUUGUGGGUGGGUUGACGGUAGCUGGAUAAGAAGCGCCGGCUAACUACGUG
rnacentral:rRNA from 1 species